rnacentral:rRNA from 1 species
AUGAAACGGGCGGCGUCUUCACUUCCGCUCCACGAUGACUUGCUCCUCGAGAUCGUCACCUGGCUCAAAGACGACAUGGCGGCGCUCUUUCGGUGCGCCAUGGUGUGCAAGCUGUGGCGUCGCCUCGUGGCAAAUCCCUCCUUCCUCCGGCGCUGUUGGCCGGAGGACACGUCCGCCUCAAUCACCGGCUUCUUCACGAGGGAGCAACGCCCUGGACAAGGGGUGGGGGCGCCGUGCUUCGUCCCUGCGCCGGGGUCGGCGAUGGGCCGUGGUUGCCAUGCCCUUACCACCUUCGUGCAGCCUACCGGCCAGAAGUUAGAUCACGCGGAGCCGCUUGUCUCACGCCACGGCCUCCUACUCGUGCGCCUUCCCUCCCAUGGCUCGAGGGUCGUCCACCUGGCGGUGUGCAAUCUGCUCGUCGGCGAGUGCCACGUUCUACCACCUCUAAAGUGCGGCAAGGUCGACCCCCUUCACUUGGACUGGAGUGGGUACGCUAUUUUGAGUGGUGUGGAUAGCUGCUCUUACAACCAGCAGCCACCACCGAGCAACGAUGCGUCGUCCUUCAAAGUGGUAAUCAUCGACCUGGACUACAAUCUCUACACGUUCGCAUCUGAUAAAGGGAGCUGGAGCACGGCGAGCAGAUGCUUCGGCGAUGAGGCUACCAGCAACUAUACCGCGGUUUAUCAUGGCCCUGCCGUCGUGUGCCGCGGCACGGCACACUGGCUCUUUUACGAAGGGAUGAUGCCAGGUUUAUGCAUUGUUGGUAUGGAAGCUAAGACGGGCCACAUCACCUUGACAAGGAUCCCCUUUGAGAUGGACGACAUGAGAUAUCGCCCGUGCCUUACCCUCUCCACCGAUGGGACACUUUCGCUAAUCUAUAUCGAAAGGGAAGAUGCCCGGGUACUUAUCUGGGAAAUUUUGGACGAGACUACAAACUGCCUCUGCACUCGGAGUAUCGAGUUACAAGAACCAGGCAAGAAGCUUACUCAAAGCAUAUCAAGCUUGCACAUGUUAGGAGAAAAGUACGGGACGAUGAUUGCCCAGGGCAGUAGUUUGUGCGUGUAUGUUGUCGACCUUGAAACCGAGACGGUGGAGGAGCUGCUAGAUUGGCCUAACCGUCAUGCUAACCGUGUGGAUGUCGUGCCAUUGCAAAUGAGUUGGUUGACAUUCUUCCUUUCUCGGCUUGGUAGUCGGUAG